rnacentral:rRNA from 1 species
GAUGAACGCUAGCGGCAGGCCUAAUACAUGCAAGUCGAACUGUGUCUUCGGACAUAGUGGCGCACGGGUGCGUAACACGUAUGCAACCUACCUUACAUUGGGGGAUAGCCUUUCGAAAGGGAGAUUAAUACCGCAUAAGACAGUAGCUGGGCAUCCAGCAGCUGUUAAAGAUUUAUCGAUGUAAGCUGGGCAUGCGUCCAAUUAGCUAGUUGGUGAGGUAACGGCUCACCAAGGCAAUGAUUGGUAGGGGAACUGAGAGGUCAAUCCCCCACACUGGCACUGAGAUACGAGCCAGACUCCUACGGGAGGCAGCAGUAGGGAAUAUUGGGCAAUGGACGCAAGUCUGACCCAGCCAUGCCGCGUGCAGGAUGAAGGCGUUAUGCGUUGUAAACUGCUUUUAUACAGGAAGAAACGACUCUUGCGAGAGGCAUUGACGGUACUGUAUGAAUAAGCACCGGCUAACUCCGUGCCAGCCGCCGCAGUAACAC